UUACAGAGGAAGAAUCACCCCCACGUGUGGGGGUUUGACGGUACUCUGCGAAUAAGGGAUCGGCUAACUCCCGUGCCAGCAGCCGCGGUAAUACGGAGGAUCCAAGCGUUAUCCGGAAUCAUUGGGUUAAAGGGUCCGUAGGCGGGCAGUUAAGUCAGUGGUGAAAGUCUUCCGCUCAACGGGAGAACUGCCAUUGAUACUGAUUGUCUUGAGUUAUUAUGAAGUGGUUAGAAUGAGUAGUGUAGCGGUGAAAUGCAUAGAUAUUACUCAGAAUACCGAUUGCGAAGGCAGAUCACUAAUAAUAUACUGACGCUGAUGGACGAAAGCGUAGGUAGCGAACAGGAUUAGAUACCCUGGUAGUCUACGCCGUAAACGAUGGUUACUAGCUGUUCGGCCCAAUUGAGGGCUGAGUGGUUAAGCGAAAGUGAUAAGUAACCCACCUGGGGAGUACGUUCGCAAGAAUGAAACUCAAAGGAAUUGACGGGGGCCCGCACAAGCGGUGGUUGGUAAGGUUCUGCGCGUUGCUUCGAAUUAAACCACAUGCUCCCUUGACAUCCUGUGCUAACCCGAGAGAUCGGGCGUUCACUUCGGUGACGCAGUGACAGGUGCUGCAUGGCUGUCGUCAGCUCGUGUCGUGAGAUGUUCGGUUAAGUCCGGCAACGAGCGCAACCCACAUCCUUAGUUGCCAGCAGUUCGGCUGGGCACUCUAAGGAAACUGCCCGUGAUAAGCGGGAGGAAGGUGUGGAUGACGUCAAGUCCUCAUGGCCCUUACGGGUUGGGCUACACACGUGCUACAAUGGCAGUGACAAUGGGUUAAUCCCCAAAAGCUGUCUCAGUUCGGAUUGGGGUCUGCAACUCGACCCCAUGAAGUCGGAAUCGCUAGUAAUCGUGGAACAGCAUGCCACGGUGAAUACGUUCCCGGGCCUUGUACACACCGCCCGUCACACCAUGGGAGUUGGUUCUACCCGACGGCCGUGCGCCAACCUUUCGAGGAGGCAGCGGACCACGGUAGGAUCAGCGACUGGGGUGAAGUCGUAACAAGGUAACCAA
rnacentral:rRNA from 1 species